rnacentral:rRNA from 1 species
GACACGCUGGCGGCGUGCCUAACACAUGCAAGUCGAACGGAGAUAUUUAGAGUACUUGUACAAAGGAUAUCUUAGUGGCGGACGGGUGAGUAACACGUGAGCAACCUGGCUUAAAGAGGGGGAUAACAUUCGGAAACGGAUGCUAAUACCGCAUAAGACCACACUGACACAUGUCAGAGGGGUAAAAGGAGCAAUCCGCUUUAAGAUGGGCUCGCGGACCAUUAGUUAGUUGGUGAGGUAACGGCUCACCAAGACUGCGAUGGAUAGCCGACCUGAGAGGGUGAACGGCCACAUUGGAACUGAGACACGGUCCAGACUCCUACGGGAGGCAGCAGUGGGGAAUAUUGGGCAAUGGAGGCAACUCUGACCCAGCAACGCCGCGUGAGGGAAGAAGGUUUUCGGAUUGUAAACCUCUGUCCUUGGGGACGAAGAAAGUGACGGUACCCGAGGAGGAAGCCCCGGCUAACUACGUG